rnacentral:ncRNA from 2 species
ACCACGUUACAGGGGCGCGAAAGCUGAGAUGUACCCUUUGACCUGAUCUAGGUAAUGCUAGCGUAGGGAGUAGACCUACGCCUUUU